CCCCCGCCUCCUUCACCUCCCGACCGUCAUCCAUCAGGCUCCUCCAGCCCUUGGCUCUACCCCUCCCGUGCGGCUGCCCUGUCCCGUCUGCUGACCACGUACUUCUGUCACGGCUUCAGCGGCUGCCUCCUCCUGGACACCUUCCCUGACUACCUACUUCCCAGGACCAGCCUAUCCCAGCCAGCCCCUGGAACAGACUGAGUCACAAUGGAUUCUUGUCGGACACCCAUGAGAGUAAAGGAGGGGCUCCCGCCAGCUUUGUCCCAGGACCCACGGCCCCGCACAUGCCUCACUGACAGUGCUGGAGGCCACGGGAGGUGCACACACAUCUGGGGGUCCUGGGGGUGCUGACAGCCCUGGGGCCGGGUGACCUCUGGCCAUCAGACUCCUAGGCUUUGAAAGGAGCUGCUGUGGGAACCUGGGAUCCCAAGAGACGUGUGGUGCUCCGGCUUCCGUUUUACGGAAAAUCGGGGAAGAUGCAGCCACAGCCGUGGAGCCUUCAGUGUGCAGAGAACACAGGCCAUGAGGGCAGAAGCUUCCAGAACAAGAGUGACGCUGCUCCAGCAGAGCUCUCAGGAGGGCAGGGCCAUGAGAAACAAGCGGGAGACCAGGAGGCCAUGAGGCUCUGCAUGUGGAUCCCUGGACUGAGGCCACCGAGCCGUCCACAUGGACUGAACAUGCUGCACGGGGCCGUCGGGCUCACUCAGGAAGCCUGGGCACAGGAGGGUACCGGGUGCACAGAAACCUGGCGGGAAGGGCUGCAGGCCUGCUGCACUUGCCAGCAGCCAUGAGGUUCUCGUGGAACAGAAGGAAUGAAGACCUCCUGGACUGCAGGUGCCACCAGAUGCCAGGGCUCUGGCCCGGCCGCGCUGCCCCGUGCACUGGAGAUGCGGUGGGCUUGGGAUUCCCACCUGCACAAGGAGGAGGAAGGGGAGGAAACGCCCGAGGGCUGGCACUGAAACCGGCCGCCCGCGUGGGGCAGGGAGACCUUAUUUACACUUUAUUGACAGACACAACACGUAUGUACACGCGUCGCAGCACAGGCCCUGUGGGCAAGACCAGACGCUCAUGAUCCCAGGGAUAAAAAAUCUCUCCGCGAGCGGGCAGGGGGCCCGGGCGGGGGGAAUCCGCUCCCCAGGGCACCAUUCGCUUAAAGUGUGUUAAUAACUUGUCCAGCAAGUUUCUUGACCUUCCCACACCCCUCUUCUCAACGUCCCCCCAGAGUCCUCAGGGGGGCCUUCGACCUGCAAAAGCCUCACAGGAGUGCGAGGGGUCCCAGCUCCCAGGGCGGCCGAUGGAGCCUCACACGGUCACCUUCUCCAUCACGCUUUCAGCCACGUGGACUUCGUCUGCCUGGACCGUGACAGCUGCUGACUGGCCGCAUAUGUGCUGGUGAUCCUUCCAGUCCUGGAGGGAGGACACAUCCAUGUCCACGGGGUCAGUGGGUGCAGCAGGGCCUUGGAGCAGGGUCCCCAAGGUGGACCCCAGGCCCCUCACCCCAGAGGGUGCAGCCCCUGUGAGCUGACCUGGGGGUGCUGAGAGAAUGCCCUCCCCAGUGCCCGCACGCCCACACUCUGGUGGCCUCUGCUCCAAUACAGCCUUCCCCACACUCUCUUGGUUUGAGGAAUUGGAUCAAAAGGCAAACAACAGGUGGGGCGUGGUGGCUCACGCCUGUAAUCCCAGCAUUUUGGGAGGCCCAGGCAGGUGGAUCCCCCGAGGUCAGGAGUUCGAGACCAGCCUGGCCAACACGGUAAAACCCCGUAUCUACUAAAAACACAAAAAUUAGCUGGGCAUGGCGGCAGGCACCUCUAAUCCCAGUUACUCGGGAGGCUGAGGCAGGAGAACUGCUUGAACCCGGGAGGCAGAGGUUGCAGUGAGCCAAGAUGGUGCCACCGCACUCUAGCCUGUGGGAGAGAACAACUCUGUAUCAAAAUAAAAGUCGAACAACAAACCAGGA